UACGGAGGGGGCUAGCGUUGUUCGGAAUUACUGGGCGUAAAGCGCACGUAGGCGGCUUUGUAAGUUAGAGGUGAAAGCCCAGGGCUUAACCCUGGAAUUGCCUUUAAGACUGCAUCGCUAGAAUCGUGGAGAGGUGAGUGGAAUUCCGAGUGUAGAGGUGAAAUUCGUAGAUAUUCGCAAGAACACCAGUCGGCGAAGGCG
rnacentral:rRNA from 1 species